UGUAGUUGACCUCUGGGGAAAAUGUACUUCUGACAUCUCGAUCAAUCCGGCCCAGUGAUUUUAGCUCCGGCAGGAGAGAUGCCGAGGGAGGCUCCAACACCGCAGCACAGGCUGAGCUCCCGUGCAGGAUCCGUCCCCUGAGAGCAGACGGCCCAGGCGCUGACCUGCUUGCGUGACUUCUGCAGCCGCUUUGUGCACGGACAAGAUCCCCGGUUUCCCAGGGAAGUGUGAUUUGGUGGAGCUGGCUGAAGCACGGAGAAGAUCAAAGGAUCAUUUCAGUUUCUCAUUUUAUGAGGGGGGAGGUCCUAUAGGAACAUCACAGCCAUUUGUGUCUCUCCAGACCAAGACUUCAUCUGUGUCGCCUCCAGGGCCUCUGUGGGAUACAUGACCCCAAAGAGGUGCAACGUGAAGCUUCACAGCACCCCAAGUCCCACUCCGGAUCAGCGCUCCUAUAACCAUCCCCAUCACAGGUGUUGGCAUGGGUUGGGUGGAGAAUGAACCUACAGCAAUUACCAUUUGGAAAAUAAAUGUGGUCAAACGUUCCUUGAAAA